UGAGCUUUUAAAUCAUUGUGAAGUGGAUAGGGGCAGUCUCUCCUUUAUUACACAGAGAAAACCGAUUCAUUUAGUCAAUGAUUUACCCAGUCUCUUCUGGAUUCUGUUCUCCUGACAUCAGUUCAAUUCAGCAAGUACUUACUAAGUUUCAGGUGUUUCUUCCUACAUUACAAUACUAUCUUCUUUAAAGAUUAAGCCAUAAAGCUGUUGAUAAGAUGCAUUUUUGGUAGUUGUUACAUAAAGAGUAAUUGAUUGUCUCUAUCAUUUGACCCAGCUAAGACUCCAGAGGUAUAGUAGGAAUCGUUAUCUCCCAGCCAUAAGAAUCUAAUAACAAACAAGGGAAAUCUAUACAGAUCCUGACAGGGAAGUAACAUGGUGUAGUCUGUAGAAAGACUACUUGCUUUUGGUCCUGGUUCUCCCCCCUCACUGUGUGUCUGAAGACCGGGUGUAUAACUUCUCUGCAUCUAUGUCUCUAUCAGAAAAAUAAGAAUAAUAGUAAUCAUUCCAUCUACCUUACCAGGAAAUGUUAAGGAUAAAUGACAUACUGCUUGUAGUGAUGUUCUGUAACUGUAAAGUACUUUUUAAAUAUUAAGGAUUUUUAAAAAUCUAUUAUUAUUAAAAAUGGAAAUUGCCAUUAUGGCCAAGUGGCUAGAAAUUUUUAUUACAUUUUAUAGCCUCCAACUAAUCUAGAUUAAGAAACCAUAAUCAUAGGCACUUUUGAAAUAAAAUUUUACAAAUUCUUUCUCCGAUUAUGAGAUUCAGAGUAUCUUGUUUCAGUCACUUCUGUUUUCAGUACUCAGUGAGCAAAUAAUGUCAGAUGUGCCGCAGGUUGCCUUAUUCUCUCAAAUUCUAAGUGACCAUACUAACCCUGAGCCACCAGAAGUGACCAUUACCACUCACAGAAUCUCACAGAAUUUCAUGAAAUGCAAGUAUAUGUCAGGUUAGUUCUUUCCUACAAGUCACAGAUUGACAGAUCAUUAUCCAGCUAUGAAUGGGCAUACCACAAUUGCCAAAACCUCUUUCUGUGGCCUAAUGUUGACUCUCCACUUCCCCAUUCAUGUCCCACUAAAUGCUAACCCGGUGACUAUGGGAAAGUUAGAGUUUGUCAGUGGUCUGCUGUUAUUCAGACGAAGCAUGUGACAUCUCAGUUGUUUUCUGUCCAUCUCUGUCCUGCAAAGUAAGAGAAUUAUUGCUGAUUUGUACUCUCUGAAAGUUUCUGCAAUUAAAAAGAAAAAAAAAAACUGUUACAGAAAAGCUUAGAUCAUUCUUUUACCAUUUUCCAUAAUAAGAUUUGAAAUUCAUCCAGAUGCAUAUGGGAAUAUCAUCUUCUCCUCUAAUUUAUUUUUAAAGACAUACUUUACCAAAGUAGUGUGGCUUAUAUGCCUUUCUGAAUAUCUGAUAAGAUUAGUCUCAGAGUUCACAAAUAUGGAGAAGCUGGGUGUGUUGUCUUUUUUUUUCUAGAAUCCGUUGACAGAUUUUCUCUGACAUUUUCCUUAGUGUUGGUCUUUGUUAAAUAUAUUUUAUAGAAAAAGGAUGAAAUCUGAAAUCUCUCAGCUAUUAGAUAUUGUGGCUAUUUGGUAUAUUUUUAAUAAGACUUACAUGUAUUGGCAUCAAUUAAUACCUUCAAAAGGUAUGGUAGAGAUGGAUGGAAAUAAUAUGUUUGGAAUGUUUUGCUUCUUUUCAUGUGAACAUAAUAAUGUUUUAUAAUGUCAAGAUUGAAGGGUUAGACCAGGAGUCAAAAAACUAUGUCCUGUAGGACAAAUCAGCCCCAUUGCCUGUUUGUAUAAAUUAAGGUUUAUUGGAGCAUAAACUUGCUCCUCUGUUACAUGUUGUCUUUGGUUGCUUUCUGCUACAAUGGCUUGAGUAGUUGGGACAGAGUAUAUAGCCUGCUAAUCCUAAAUUAAUUGACCAGCUGUUUCUUCGAAGAAAAAGUUUGCCAACUCCUGGGCUAGGCCAUUAACAAUUAGUCUGGUGAGUAAAAAAGGUAGCGCAAGGAGUGGUGUAUUCUGUGUAUACAGCUUUUGGAUGUCUCUAGAAGUCUGGUCUACAUUAGGCAAAAAACACGCAGAUAUUCUUAAUACUGUGUAUGAGGUGCGCAGAAUAUGCUCCCAACUAUUUUCCUAUUGUAACUUGAAGCAAAAACAACCAAAUAUGGUAUCCUAGUAAUGUUCUCUGCACAGAAUUUAUGUCUUAAGUGUUCCUUUCCUCCCUCCCAAUCAUUGCAGAGAACCCUUUGCUAAGGGGAAGAAGGAAAAGAAAAUAAGAUUGUUUGUUCAAAGUUUCAUAAAAUUCUGUACGGCCAUUUUAUCUGUUUUAAAAAUAUCUGAGUAUUGCAAUAAAAUCUAAUGCCAGGGACAGAGAUCUGCAAAUUCUA